rnacentral:rRNA from 1 species
GACGAACGCUGGCGGCGUGCUUAACACAUGCAAGUCGAACGGAAAGGCCCCUUUGGGGGUACUCGAGUGGCGAACGGGUGAAUAACACGUGUGUAACCUGCCCUUGACUUCGGGAUCACUUCAGGAAACUGGGGCUAAUACCGGAUAGGAAUCCUUGCUGCAUGGUGGGGGUUGGAAAGCUUCGGCGGUUUUGGAUGGACUCGCGGCUUAUCAGCUUGUUGGUGGGGUAGUGGCUUACCAAGGCUUUGACGGGUAGCCGGCCUGAGAGGGCGACCGGCCACAGUGGGACUGAGAUACGGCGCAGGCUCCGGCGGGAGGCAGCCGUGGGGAGUAUUGCGCAAGGGGCGGAGGCCUGAUGCAGCAGCGCCGCGUGCGGGAUGACGGCCUUCGGGUUGUAAACCGAUUUCAGCAGGGGCGAAGCUUGUGGUGACGGUACCUGCAGAAGAAGCACCGGCUAACUACGUG